rnacentral:tRNA from 1 species
AGAAAUUUAGGAUAACCUUAAACCAAGAGCCUUCAAAACUCCUAAUAGAAGUUAAAAUCUUCUAAUUUCU